UGACAGUUUUCUUGGAAUCAUGACAGUGUUUUACCCAUAACGGCCCCCUAUACUCUAAUUCAGCUUCUCUCUGGGUAAUCAGACCAGUCUGCUGAAUUUGGAGAGUCCCAUUGGUUCCUGAUCAGGCUUCUUCACGGUUAUUAUGCUUGAACUGGAACUUUCCAGAAAUGGAUGGAUAGAAGAGGCUGAAAGAUGCCUAAAAUGUUGUAUGCCUGGACCCCCUAUCAUGUCAUCAUGUAAUGUCCAAGUUGUAUUAGUAUGAAAUUGUGUCCUUUCUGUUUUUGAUGCCCAAGAGGGACUCAUCAUGUCCCCCCAUUCUCUUUUCUUCCCCAAGGAGUACAACAAUGUCCUCUCAGUAGGAGGACCUGUGAGAGAAGACUGUGAAGAGACUGGUCUAACUGAAGCAUGGGUCUGGCUCAGGUUUUCAAGCCAGCUAUGGCCUUCUCUGGUAUUCAAAGAGUGCUGGCCACCAUGUGUCAGGCCAUCUGCCAGUAAAGAAGUGAAGAGCCAGUCGUCCUGCUUCCCAGGCAGAGGAUGAUGGCGUGCUUUCUCUUGCCACACCCGAUGUCAUGCCUGAUGGAUCUCACCAAGACUUAAGAGCCAAGCAUCCCCAGACAGCUAACACUAAGUAAAAGCCAGGUUUCUUAUGAAGAAGCAAACUGCUAAG